CUUGCAAGUUACAACUUACAACGCUAGGCUGCUAACAUAUAGGUUAUUGGGGCACGAGGACAACGACCCAGCUUUUCUUAUAUGGAUCUGUCUUUGGUGCUGAUUAUUUUUUUGAUGAAUGAUUGUAACUGUAUUAAUAAAGAUUACAUAAAGAUGCAAUUGUUGUUCAACAGAGCUGAUGAACAAACAACAGAUGAAAACAAAGAAUACCGGAGCAAAACUCCAAGUUGACAGUCACAUGAAAUGACCUUAAAUCGAUUUCAAUAUCGCCAAAGAUUCUGAUCCAGUGAACCGAAUUGACCAAUAGAGCUGAAUACAAUUAGGGAUCAUCUCGUUGACAAUCAACCAAAGAGCCAAAUAGAAAAUCCAACAAUAAGAAUCAGCAAGAAAGAAAAAACAUCCCAACAAAAAAGACAAAAGCCUAAAGCAACUCCUCCCGCAGUUGGGCAGGUAAAGUGUUCGCCAACCAAAGCCUGCAAUCCGCUUCUGGAACCUUCCCCUCAGCGGCAACCCAACCCGAGAUAGAAACAACAAUCUUCGAGAUGAUAUCGAUCAAGGACAUGACUUUAUCUUGGAAGAUUCUUGAAUUUCUUUCGAGCCAUAUAUUCCAGAACACGGCAUGAAGAAGGUUAUGAGCAUACUUUGAAUUUCCAAAGGUAAGAGAGGGCCAAGUAUUAAUAAAAGUCUUGACAUCCAAUGGAGGAGCUGUUUUGCAAUUUAAUUAGUGGGCAAUCUCAUGUAAGAGAAUCCUCUCACAUACGAAGCGGCAAUCCUUC
rnacentral:lncRNA from 1 species